rnacentral:tRNA from 1 species
GCCUGUUUGGCUGAGUUGUUGGGCAUGCAACUUUGAUCUUGGGGUGGUGAGUUCAAGCCCCACAUUAGAUG